AGAGAGCAGGAGCAUAUGGACAGAGGAGAGGCAGAAGCCGGGCUCUGCAGGGCUGUGGAAGCUGGAGGAGUAGGUUGUCCCAGAGUCCCGUACCCCUGGGGAUCCAGGAAGCAUUUCAGAGCUUCCUGUGUGCAGCAUGGAUCUAAAGCUGGUGGAUGCAGGGGGGUGAACAAGACAACAUCUUCACUUCCUGCAUGCUGAUGGCAGAAGUGAGACAUCAGCGAAGAAACAUCACGAUCACCAAAUUACGAUGAACACCAUGGAGGAAACAAAGGACACUGUGACACCAAGGAAGGAAGGGAGGUUACUUUUCAUAGUGGCUGUAAAUAGAACUGAAGGCUGAAAAACAGCUGUUAAAAUGGCUUGUUUGUUUGAAGAUGAAUGAGAGUACACAAUAAAAGGAAAAAAAUUUGGACACAGACACACACAGAGGGAUGACCACGUGGAGAUGCAGGGAGAGGAUAGCAGCUACAGGCCAGGGCGAGAGGCCUCAGAGGAAACCAGUCCUGCUGACUCUUUGAACUCGGACUUCCAGCCUCCAGAACUGUGAGAAAAUAAAUUUCUGUUUUAAGUCA
rnacentral:lncRNA from 1 species